GGAAGUAAACGUCGUAACAAGGUUUCCGUAGGUGAACCUGCGGAAGGAUCAUUACCGCGUGCGGGCCCUUUAGGUCCAACCUCCCACCCGUGUUUAUCGUACCUUGUUGCUUCGGCGGGCCCGCCGCAAGGCCCCCGGGGGCAUCUGCCCUCUGGCCCGCGCCCGCCGAAGACACCAUUGAACGCUGUCUGAAGAUUGCAGUCUGAGCAAUUAGUUAAAUAACUUAAAACUUUCAACAACGGAUCUCUUGGUUCCG
rnacentral:misc_RNA from 1 species